rnacentral:rRNA from 1 species
GCAAGUCGAACGGGUGUAGCAAUACACUAGUGGCGAACGGGUGAGUAACACGUUGGUGACCUGCCCUAAAGAGGGGAAUACCACUUCGAAAGGAGUGACAAAACCGCAUAAGCUGAUGCUAGUUAGAGAAGCAUUAGUAAAAGAGAAAUCUACUUUAGGAGGGGCCUGCGGCCCAUCAGCUAGUUGGUGAGGUAAAAGCCCACCAAGGCGAAGACGGGUAGGGGACCUGAGAGGGUGAUCCCCCACAAUGGAACUGAAACACGGUCCAUACACCUGCGGGUGGCAGCAGUAGGGAAUAUUGCUUAAUGGGCGAAAGCCUGAAGCAGCAACGCCGCGUGAACGAAGAAGGCCUUCGGGUCGUAAAGUUCUUUUACGUGGGAUGAGGAAGGACAGUACCACGAGAAUAAGUCUCGGCUAACUACGUGCCAGCAGCCGCGGUAAAACGUAGGAGACGAGCGUUAUCCGGAUUUACUGGGCGUAAAGCGCGUGUAGGAGGCGCUACAAGUUGGAUGUGAAAGCUCCCGGCUCAACUGGGAGAGGUCGUUCAAGACUGUAGAGCUAGAGUAAGGCAGAGGUAGAUGGAACUCCGGGAGUAGUGGUGAAAUGCGUAGAUAUCCGGAGGAACACCAGAGGCGAAAGCGAUCUACUGGGCCUAAACUGACACUGAGACGCGAAAGCCAGGGUAGCAAACGGGAUUAGAGACCCCGGUAGUCCUGGCCGUAAACGAUGUAGACUGAGCGUUGGUUGGGUAAAACCAAUCAGUGCUGAAGCAAACGCGAUAAGUCUACCGCC